GCCGGAGAAGCGCCGUGGGAGGCGCUGAAGUUCUCCAACCCGUCGCGAAGUAAUUCCGUUCCUUCGAUGGUGACCCCGGGGGUUCCUGCAAAGGAGGAAUGGCUCCCUGGUGGCGUUCCCUCCCGCUCGGGCCACUACAUGAACACUGUUGGAGGUCCCGGGAUGCCACCACACAGCUCCAUGUUGAAGCAGGACCGAGUGCUUCCCCUCGCACUGUGCUGACGGUGCCUUGAGCACCGAACCCUCCAUACUGUGUUGCACUGAUCUCCAUUUCUGAUGCAUGCAAAGAUGCCUUCUGACAAGUUUUCCACCCUGUGGAGCAUCUCAUAAAGGGUGAGAAAAUGUUGGAAGACUACCCUACAUAGCCUGUAGGGCUAGAACUGUCUUUACUCGGGUCUGGAUUUGUUGCUGGGGGAGACGAUUUAGUACUAAUUGAGAAAUCUGUACGGAAAAGCCCUUUCAGUGCUAUGUUAUCCUGUCCCUAUGGACGAUUUGUUUCUUCCGUGGUGCUGCACACAAUCGCUAUGGCUGGUAUGACCUUGUUUGCAUGUAGGCAGCUGCCUAGGUGCAACAAGUGGCUGUGGCUCAGCUGUGCCUUCCCUCAUCGUGCAAGUGAUCAACCCCCUGACAUCAGCCAGAGCACUCCAAUGGGAAUGGGAUGCAAAACCACGCACCCCACAUCUACCUGUCACGCUGUCUUUUCUUGCCACAGAAUAAAUGAAAGGGGUUAUUCCA